rnacentral:rRNA from 1 species
AGUGAACGCUGGCGGCAGGCCUAACACAUGCAAGUCGAACGGCAGCACAGUAAGAGCUUGCUCUUACGGGUGGCGAGUGGCGGACGGGUGAGGAAUACAUCGGAAUCUACUUUUUCGUGGGGGAUAACGUAGGGAAACUUACGCUAAUACCGCAUACGACCUACGGGUGAAAGCAGGGGAUCUUCGGACCUUUCGCGAUUGAAUGAGCCGAUGUCGGAUUAGCUAGUUGGCGGGGUAAAGGCCCACCAAGGCGACGAUCCGUAGCUGGUCUGAGAGGAUGAUCAGCCACACUGGAACUGAGACACGGUCCAGACUCCUACGGGAGGCAGCAGUGGGGAAUAUUGGACAAUGGGCGCAAGCCUGAUCCAGCCAUACCGCGUGGGUGAAGAAGGCCUUCGGGUUGUAAAGCCCUUUUGUUGGGAAAGAAAAGCAGCAGGUUAAUACCCCGCUGUUCUGACGGUACCCAAAGAAUAAGCACCGGCUAACUUCGUG